rnacentral:rRNA from 1 species
UCGAGCGGAACGAUCCUAGCUUGCUAGGAGGCGUCGAGCGGCGGACGGGUGAGUAAUGCAUAGGAAUCUGCCCGGUAGUGGGGGAUAACCUGGGGAAACCCAGGCUAAUACCGCAUACGCCCUACGGGGGAAAGCAGGGGAUCUUCGGACCUUGCGCUAUCGGAUGAGCCUAUGUCGGAUUAGCUAGUUGGUGAGGUAACGGCUCACCAAGGCUGCGAUCCGUAGCUGGUCUGAGAGGAUGAUCAGCCACAUCGGGACUGAGACACGGCCCGAACUCCUACGGGAGGCAGCAGUGGGGAAUAUUGGACAAUGGGCGAAAGCCUGAUCCAGCCAUGCCGCGUGUGUGAAGAAGGCCUUCGGGUUGUAAAGCACUUUCAGUGAGGAAGAAAGCCUUGAGGUUAAUACCCUCGAGGGAGGACAUCACUCACAGAAGAAGCACCGGCUAACUCCGUGCCAGCAGCCGCGGUAAUACGGAGGGUGCGAGCGUUAAUCGGAAUUACUGGGCGUAAAGCGCGCGUAGGCGGCUUGAUAAGCCGGUUGUGAAAGCCCCGGGCUCAGCCUGGGAACGGCAUCCGGAACUGUCAGGCUAGAGUGCAUGAGAGGAAGGUAGAAUUCCCGGUGUAGCGGUGAAAUGCGUAGAGAUCGGGAGGAAUACCAGUGGCGAACGCGGCCUUCUGGACUGACACUGACGCUAAGGUGCGAAAGCGUGGGUAGCAAACAGGAUUAGAUACCCUGGUAGUCCACGCCGUAUACGAUGUCGACUAGCCGUUGGGCUCCUUGAGAG